rnacentral:rRNA from 1 species
AUACGGAGGAUCCGAGCGUUAUCCGGAUUUAUUGGGUUUAAAGGGAGCGUAGGUGGACAGUUAAGUCAGUUGUGAAAGUUUGCGGCUCAACCGUAAAAUUGCAGUUGAUACUGGCUGUCUUGAGUACAGUAGAGGUGGGGGGAAUUCGUGGUGUAGCGGGUGAAUGCUUAGAUAUCACGAAGAACUCCGAUUGCGAAGGCAGCUCACUGGACUGCAACUGACACUGAUGCUCGAAAGUGUGGGUAUCAAACAGGAUUAGAUACCCUGGUAGUCCACACAGUAAACGAUGAAUACUCGCUGUUUGCGAUAUACAGUAAGCGGCCAAGCGAAAGCAUUAAGUAUUCCACCUGGGGAGUACGCCGGCAACGGUGAAACUCAAAUGAAUUGACGGGG